CGCUCAGUCAUUGGGGAGUAGCUAUCCUGCGUCGCCCGCCCGGUUGUUCCGGGUUGCACGACAGGAGUCCGCGUCAACAGACUUGAAGCCAAGCGCUUCAUGGCGCGUACGGUGCCUGCCUUCGGCAGGUGGCCCGGCGAGACCUUUGGCCAGCCCCGCCGUCCUGCCGGACGAGUGGUGAGGCUGUGCCAUUGCGUCCACU
rnacentral:sRNA from 2 species